rnacentral:rRNA from 1 species
GACAGAGGAGGCAAGCGUUGCUCGGAAUCAUUGGGCUUAAAGCGGGUGUAGGCGGCCGUGUAAGCGUGACGUGAAAUCCAGCGGCUCAACCGCUGAAUUGCGUCGCGAACUGCACGGCUUGAGGACGGUAGAGGUGGCUGGAACUCUGGGUGGAGCGGUGAAAUGCGUAGAUAUCCAGAGGAACACCGGAGGCGAAAGCGGGCCACUGGGCCGAUUCUGACGCUGAGACCCGAAAGCGUGGGGAGCAAACAGG